GGUGUUAGACCCGUUGGAGUAUAAUCGGUGGCUAUUGAUGUUUCCUAUGAGUCGGAUUGUUUGAGAAUGCAGUCCAAAUUUGGUGGUAAACUCCAUCUAAGGCUAAAUACUUGUAUGAGUCCGAUAGCAAACAAGUACCGUGAGGGAAAGUUGAAAAGAACUUUGAAGAGAGAGUUAAAUAGUACGUGAAAUCGCUUAGAGGUAAACGAGUGGAGCCGAAAAAGUCGAGUGGGAUUCAGUUGGGUGUAUGAUGAUGAUCGGUUCGGUGAAAACCAGUAAAGGCAUCACUGUUUCGGUAUGUUUGUUGUACACACAAUGCACUUUCCGUUCGAUUCGACUGUGACCAAUAGUGUUGUUUUGCUGUCGUAAUGUUGAAGUUGACCAGUUGCUUGCAAUUGGUUUUAUAGCUCAUUGCACGGUAAAAUGUUAUGUAUUGGUGAAUUUGCAAUCAGUCAAUGUUGAUAGUACGUUAUGUAUGCGGUUUGGUAGUUGGCUACAUGUAGACUGUUAUCAGAUCGUGUGUGUGGUGUACUGUUGAUGGAUUGGUUUAAAGUCACAGUAUAAUGUAGGUUAUCUACUCGUCCCGUCUUGAAACACGGACCAAGGAGUUUUAUAUGAUCGCGAGUCAAAGGGCAAUACGAAACCCCAGGGCGCAAUUAAUGUAAAGGUUUACUUCAAGUAGACUGUGAUGUGACCUGAAAGUGUUUGGUCACAAGCCAAAUGCAAUCAGUGCAACAUCGACCCGUCUGAAGAUGUUCGCAUCUGGGCGGAGUUUGAGCGAUCAUGUAGAGACCCGAAAGAUGGUGAACUAUGCUUGUGCAGGUUGAAGUCAGAGGAAACUCUGAUGGAGGACCGCCGCGGUUCUGACGUGCAAAUCGAUCGUCGGACAUGAGUAUAGGGGCGAAAGACUAAUCGAACCAUCUAGUAGCUGGUUCCCUCCGAAGUUUCCCUCAGGAUAGCUGGCGUUUGUUGUCGUAGUUUUACCUGGUAAAGCGAAUGAUUAGAAGUAUUGGGGGCGAAAUGCCUUCAACUUAUUCUCAAACUUUAAAUGGGUUCGAUGUGUAGCUCGCUUCAUUGGAGUUGCACGUUGAAUACGAAUGCCUAGUGGGCCAUUUUUGGUAAGCAGAACUGGCGAUGUGGGAUGAACCAAACAUUCGGUUAAGGUGCCUAACAUCACGCUCAUGAGAACCCACAAAAGGUGUUGGUUGAUAAAGACAGCAGGACGGUGGACAUGGAAGUCGUCAUCCGCUAAGGAGUGUGUAACAACUCACCUGCCGAAUCAACCAGCCCUGAAA
rnacentral:rRNA from 1 species